rnacentral:rRNA from 1 species
AGUGAACGCUGGCGGUAGGCCUAACACAUGCAAGUCGAACGGCAGCACAGUAAGAGCUUGCUCUUACGGGUGGCGAGUGGCGGACGGGUGAGGAAUACAUCGGAAUCUACUUUUUCGUGGGGGAUAACGUAGGGAAACUUACGCUAAUACCGCAUACGACCUACGGGUGAAAGCAGGGGAUCUUCGGACCUUGCGCGAUUGAAUGAGCCGAUGUCGGAUUAGCUAGUUGGCGGGGUAAAGGCCCACCAAGGCGACGAUCCGUAGCUGGUCUGAGGGGAUGAUCAGCCACACUGGAACUGAGACACGGUCCAGACUCCUACGGGGGGCAGCAGUGGGGAAUAUUGGACAAUGGGCGCAAGCCUGAUCCGGCCAUACCGCGUGGGUGAAGAAGGCCUUCGGGUUGUAAAGCCCUUUUGUUGGGAAAGAAAAGCAGCAGGUUAAUACCCCGCUGUUCUGACGGUACCCAAAGAAUAAGCACCGGCUAACUUCGUG